rnacentral:rRNA from 1 species
UGCGCAGGCGGGCUAAUAAGUCAGUGGUGAAAUCUUUCGGCUUAACCGGGAAACUGCCAUUGAUACUGUUAGUCUUGAGUUCGGUUGAGGUAGGCGGAAUGUGUAAUGUAGCGGUGAAAUGCUUAGAUAUUACACAGAACACCAAUUGCGUAGGCAGCUUACUAGACCGACACUGACGCUGAGGCACGAAAGCGUGGGGAGCGAACAGGAUUAGAUACCCUGGUAGUCC